rnacentral:lncRNA from 1 species
GAGCAAGUCCCCGUUCCUGUGUAUCACCCAACCCCCAGCCAGACCCGGCUGGCAACACAGCUGACAGAGGAAGAGCAAAUCCGAAUAGCGCAGAGGAUAGGCCUUAUCCAGCACCUACCGAAGGGAGUCUAUGAUCCUGGAAGAGAUGGCUCCGAGAAGAAGAUCAGAGAAUGCGUCAUUUGUAUGAUGGACUUUGUGUAUGGGGACCCUAUUCGAUUUCUGCCUUGCAUGCACAUCUACCACCUGGACUGUAUAGAUGACUGGUUGAUGAGAUCCUUUACCUGUCCAUCCUGCAUGGAGCCAGUGGAUGCAGCACUGCUUUCAUCAUACGAGACUAACUGAGCCAGGGUUUCUCCGUGAACCUUCAAGGAGACCAUCCACUUCAAUGGGUUUGAUCCUUUUGUCAUUCAGCCCAAAGAGCCAGAAAUUAGGAAUUAAGUUAGGAAUAUGCAGACUUCGGAGUGAUCUCCUAGCUUGUAAGCAAACUGAGAUGCAUUACCCCUUUUCUGCAAGUGAUGUUGAAUAUGAAGAUACAGAACAGGUCCUGCAACUGAAAUUACGGUAUCAUGGAUUUUAGAACUCAUUUCGGUUUGGACAAAACAAAUCCUUACACUUGGAUGUCUACUUGAACUUGAUCAAGGUAAAAGUGGGCCAGAAGGACAAUAAACAGUGAAGCUACCGCA